UUAUCAACUAAACAAAAUCUCUUUCCUUCUUAUAUUUAAAGGUCUUCUACCUUUAAAUUGUUCUCCUACAGUUAGUACUAUAUUUUUCAGUCCAAUCACUAAUUUGCAGAGAUGAGUAAAUCGAUUUAAUAAGAAGUGCUCAAAAGCUUUAUAGUAUAUUGUAGCAUAUGCUGCUGUGAAACAGGUGAGAAACUAAGAAGAAGAAGCCCACUCACACAGUGACUCUGCAAAAUUUGCAGUCUGCACCUUACUGCUUUUUUUUCUUUUGUUAGCUCACCUCAGCCAAAAACUGACUUCCAACCAUGAUUCAUCCUCUCUUUCUAUUCUUUGGUAAAAAUUUAUUGAUGUUUAUAUCAAAUAAAUAAGUAUACGAUAUGAGCUUAUAUUUAAAAUUUAUUACUUAAUUAUAAUUAGAUGUUAUUAUUAUAUGAUUAAAUCAUAUAACAAUGGUAAGUGACAGAGUUUGAUUAAACAACAGGUGCGAAUAAUUUUCUUACCUAUUUACUGCUCUAUUGGCAUGUUAAAUAGGUGCAUGAAAUGCAUAAUUUUUUUUAUUUAUGUUUAAUCAUAACUAAUUAAUAUAUAUUAUAAUUUUAUUAAAUUAUUUAAUCAUAAUUAGUUGAUAUAAUUAAAUAAAACAUCGAGCACAGAUAAACUUUGAGAUACUUACUGCUCUUGGAAAUGGUCUAGUAACUUCUUGGCUCUUGCAUAAAUGUAUUUGUCGGGGUGAUUUUAUUUCAUAUCUCACAUGACAACUUUCACAAGUUGUCUGAAAUUUUUUUCCAUCUCAUAUAUUUAUGAACCCAUAUCUUAUACUUGUAUAUUUGUCACAGAAAUUUUGAGAUUGUAUAAUUGUGAGACAAAAAAAGACAGAACUUAAAUUAGUUGUGUGACGCACGAAAUAAAAAAUUUCUAUUUCUCUAUUGUAAAUUUAUUUUUUGUGGGGCAAUUUUCUAUUUUAACUUUUUACUCUCUUUCACGCACUUUCAUGCUAAAAGAACAGUAAAAUUCACCUCGCCAUUUUGGAUACAAGAAAAUGACAACGACUAUUACCCACUUAUCCCAACCAAAAAUUUUCAUCAUUUUUCUUCUGAUUACCUUUUUCUUUAAACAUUUUUAGUUGAUGUACUAAUUAACAUUAAAUUUCUAAUAUCAUCACCAUUUUUUAGGUGAAAUACAUUACUUUAAUAAACUGUCACGACCCAAACACGGUCGUGAAGUCCUCAAUUUAACAAUAAGUCUCAAAACCGAUAAUUUAAGGAGAAAUGUAAUACUUUUAGAAUAAUGAUCCAAUAAUAUUAAUAAAAUAAUACAGAGAGAUAUGAAAACCCGAUAAACACUCCCAUAAGGUCUAGGGUCACGAGUCUAUAGCCUCUAAAAUAAACUGGAUAAUAAUAUCUGAACAAAAAUUCGUAAGUCUGGAAAUGUAUAUAAUAAUAAAACUGAAAUAAGAAGAGUAGCCAGGUCCUGUGAACGUCAAACAGCUACCUCAACAACUCUGAAAAAUAUCUAGAGACAACGACUGCUCAGCUAAGCCUCCGGUGCACCUGAAUCUGCACGCAAGGUGCAGGGAGUAGGGGUGAGUAUUACCGACUCAGUGAGUAAUAAGCAUAUAAAAUAUCUGAAGAUAAGAAAUCCACG
rnacentral:lncRNA from 1 species